UGAUAUGAGGGUGAUCUGGCUGUGACAUCUGUCACCACAUUGAUCUCCAGGGUUGAUUUGGCUAAUAUGGGCCACUAGGUAGGUGUCCCCUUCCUCCCUCACUUCUCCAUGUGUGUCCCUCCUGAAGCUGUGUGCUUCGUUGAAGAGGACGGCCUUUCCAGAAUAGAGGACCACUCCUUGGCCAAGGGUGUAUGAGUAGCAGCAUUCCCCAGACCAAUUCUCAAAGAAAUACACAGAUGAGGUCAUGAAUAGCCAGGCCAUUUUGUGUCU
rnacentral:snRNA from 1 species